UACGUAAGGAGCAAGCGUUGUCCGGAAUCAUUGGGCGUAAAGCGCGCGUAGGUGGCCCGGUAAGUCCGCUCUGAAAGUCAAAGGCUCAACCUUUGAAAGCGGGUGGAUACUGCCAGGCUAGAGUCCGGAAGAGGCGAGUGGAAUUCCUGGUGUAGCGGUGGAAUGCGCAGAUAUCAGGAGGAACACCAACGGCGAAGGCAGCUCGCUGGGACGGUACUGACACUGAGGCGCGAAAGCGUGGGGAGCGAACAGG
rnacentral:rRNA from 1 species